rnacentral:lncRNA from 1 species
UCUCUUCUAUCUCUUUCUCACGAUUUCACUCUAUGUACCGCCGCCUAGAGCCGCUGCGCCGCGCCUCCUAGCGCCGCCGUUGCCGGCGGUGCCUCGCUGGAGUUCGCCGCCGCCUCCCCGACCGCCGGUCGCUGAGCCGGGACUCGCUGCCGCGGUGCGUCGCCAUCCCAGACCGAGCCGAGCAAAAGAGCAGAGGAGGAAGAAGAAGGCGGAGCCGAGCCGCUGACAGGCUGACCCCAUGCCCCUUUUACCUCCAUCCCCCACUGACAAGCCGGGCCCGCGCAUCCUUCCUCCCAUCCAUCGCCGAUAGGUGGGUCCCCUCUUCUGCCGUCCCAGCUAACGGAAUAUUCCAACGGAAUAUUCCCUUACCGUCCAAAAAUUGUUAUUCCAGAAAAUUCUUUUAUUCUUUAGAAAUUCGUAGAAAAUCAACCGUAACUCCGAUUGACCCCGUUCAAGUUCCUAAAUUUUUCUAAAAUUGAAAUCUACACAGUGCCACUAUUGUUUCUCUGAUUUGAGCUAGAUUUAUUGGCUUUUCUUAAUUAGCUUUGUUUCCACGUUUAGAGCCUAAGUACGAGGAAGCUUCGGACGCCGCUUUCGAGGGAGAAGACCCGCACCCUGUGCAAGGCAAGCCUCUUUGAUCACAUUACCCCUAUAUUUUCAAUGAUACAUUGUUUGCAAAAAUGCAUUAUUUAGUUUACACGAUUAACAUGUUAGGCCUCGGAUUGUUUAUUCAACCAAUGGACCAACCUAGUAGUCGUACUUAUAUUUCAUAGGUUGAUGAUUCCAUACAUUUGAUAGCUCCACAAAUAUUUGUGCCGGUAUUGUUAUACGAUUACCGAGGUUUUGCCAUGUGGGAAACUUGGGUUAUUCCAAAUACAUGUUUAAAAAUCCGGUACGUUGUACUGAGUAGUUGUGAAAUAAAAUGUGUUGUGAAAGUGGUGAUGAUGCGGAGUCAUGCCUUUGUGGUUUGGCUACGUAUUGUCGUUAAGGACCAAUUCCUUUGGGAAAUCCAUCCAAACACGUUACAGUGCGACCACACGGGUAUUUAUGGGAUGCCUCUGGCUAAGUAAAUUGUUAUCACAUGGGAGUUGGUGUGCCAAUGGUUGUGGGAUGCCGAGGAUGAGGAGACGAAGUGUUACACAUUUUUGCCCAUCAUGGGUGUCUUUUUGCUUCUAUUGUGGCGUGGUACCAGUAGGAGUAGGAGGCAUCCUCAGUAUUUCCUGAGUGGAUGACGGCUAUCAUUGCCUGAUACUCGGCUAUGGAUCUUAGCCCAACUAGGUGGCAUGCGAUUUUCAUGGGUUAGCUUUGGAAAGGCCUUAUCACGAACUUUCAUUGCCGACGGGUAAACGAUGUCAGUUUCGUCUCGUGUGGGUAAAGCGUGCAACCUCUGCAGAGAUUAAUGAACUGUUCGAACAGCCGUGCCCACGGUCAAGGGCAAGUGUAAGGUGUUUCUCAUAGCGUAGAUUUGUUUGACAAAUGUUUGUGAAGAAGUGGUUAUUGGGAAGGGUAACGUUUCCAGAGUCCGCCUGUGUGGCAGACGGCUAACCUGGGUGGUUAGCAACGGGUCUAUGUGACCUGGGGUGUCGUCCGACACCGAGGUGUUGUUAGGGCCUUGAUGGCGUUGUUGUGCUGAGAUGUCUGUGUGGACUAUGUGUUGUUGUGAAAGUGAGAAGAAGCUAAUAGAAGAAACAAAUUAAUUGUUGUUCGUUAAUCGUGACAAGUUGUUGCAAAGCAACUUGUGAAAUGGGUCGAGGCGUGAGCCUCCUCCCGACAACUAAAACUUGACUCACUCAUUAGGAGUUUUGUGAAAUAAAUCACUUUGCCAAAAAAGCAGCUUUCGCAAAUAAAAGCCUAGCCUCCUUGUUAAACCGACAUGUCAUUCUUUCCCCUGGCUUGCUGAGUACGUUAAGUACUCACCCUUGCCCCUUAUAAUAAUCUAUAGUGUAUGAAGAUGAAGACAUCGUCCCAACCGCCGAGGAGUAUCUCCAGGAGUUAGCCGAGUAUGAAGACUUUGUUGGUAUUUCUUACGACCACAGAACAGGACUCUGGGGAUUCCUUAUGUGAGCAUGAAUCCUGGGGGGUUUUGAAAGAGAAACUUUCAUGCUCAUAUGUGGAAUGUUUUCUCUCGUCCUCCAGAGUCAAUGUCUCAAGCUUGUCCGUGGCCUAAGGGUUUUCCUUCUCAAGAGAUACAUCGUGCAAGAAUUGGGUUGUUUCAUGAUGAUAAACGAGAACAUCAUUAUGAGGGCCAGAGGGACAAGGCUUAGGCUUGAUCGAGGGUGAUGAGGGACGUUCAGUUUCAUGAAGAUGGGAAAUAGAUUCAGAAGAAACGAACGAAGAUACAAACAUCACCUUCUCGAACGGCUCAUGCUUGGGAUGAGCCUUCUUUUCGCUGGAAUAAUUCAGGGUGUUCUCAUAAUUUUCAUAAAGAUCACCCCUGAAUUGGAAUGGAAUUUUCGGAGGAUGAAUUUCUUCUUCCUCCGGCUCCAGCGACUGGAAUGAGGAUUCGACAGUUGAGUCGGGUUCCGACUCCACGUGCAGAGGAUACUCAUGGAUAAUCUCGAUCUCCGGGCAUGCUUCGCUUUGGCCGAAAGAAUCGUUCUCUAAGAUCAGAUCUAAGAGUUCUUUUCCUUCGGCAGUUGUCUUGUGUGCGAACGAUCCUCCAGCGAAAAUAUCGAGAUUUGUAGCAGACUCCUUGUCUAACCCGUAUCGAAAAUGUUGUAACAACACAUGGUCGGGUAAACACAAGUUUGGGCCAGACUGAGUUAACAAUGAGAACCUGGCCCAGGCUGCACCGAGAGAUUCCUUCUCAUUCUGUCGGAAAGAAAGGAUGUCUAAUCGAAGAUUGAUUACACGGGUUAAUGGAAAGAAAGUAAGGCAGAAAUUGCACUUAAGCUCCUCCCAUUCACCGUGGAAUUUCUUGACAGACAUAGUGUACCAUUGCUUCGCUUUAUCUCUAAGAGAAAAAGGAAACAACUUCCACUUUAGAGUUUCAUGUGUCAUGCCUACGAUGGAUAGGCACAAACACACUAGCUCAAGAUCCCGAAGAUAGAGGUAUGGGUUUUCACCGAUACUACCAGAGAAGGUUUGCUCUCGAAUCAUGGCUAUAAAGCCAGGACUGAUUUCGUAGCCAUCAGAAAGGAUUGGUUUUGAAGAACAGGACGGCUCACAAAGAUCAGCCCGAGGAGCAGAAAGGUUUUGAAUUGUGGGUUGCUCCAUCAAGGAAAAGAAUAAAAGAAAAAUAAAUAAAAAUAAAGAUAUGAGGAUGACCUAGACUCAGAUAAAUUAGCAACCGUUCCCCAGCAACGGUGCCAGAAAUGCUUGUUGGUAUUUCGUACGACCACAGAUAAAUCCACAAGUGCACGGAAUAUCGCUGUAGCACUUCACCUUCGGGUGACCCCAAAAGGAUAUCGAACUCAGGGAACGUGUGUAAUCUACCUAAGACUAAGACUGUCCAAGGACAACAACUGAUGGUAGGUAGGCUAGGCUAGAGAGGACUUUCUAUGUUUCUUAAUUUUCUAAGCUAAGCAAAGGUAAUUUCCUAUCUAUAGCUCUAUGAUGCAUCCAAACGUGGAGGAUUACUGGGACGGAAUUCAGGGCUGUCACCACCUGCCGCCUACCUCGGACAAAUCCAUGGGAUACACAAAACAAAGGUAAUCUCUAACCUAGACACCACGUCUAAGUUAUUAAUUACUACUCUAAUACUCUCUAACCUAGACACCACGUCUAAGUUAUUAAUUACUACUCUAAUACUCGUACAGGAACUUCCUUCUUUAUCCAGAGUCCUAGUACUAGAGCACUUAGUAUGAAUACUAAACAAUGAACCCGCAAAGAUGGAAAUAUAUCUUACUCAGACUAAAUAAUUAAAUAACAUAAGAAAGGAACACGAAUGCUUACUUAAUAGAAGAAGGUUCUCCGAACCCGGAGCAGAGUGUACCGACAGCUCCGGUACUCCUCCAGAAUUCCUCCUAGGAAGCUACACUCGUCGAGGUAGAAGUCGGAUGAGCGCCAAACUUCCGGGCACUCCUCCAGAGCUUGCCCUCACUCUCUACCUUAUUCUAAUGUAGAAAAGAUACAAAAGAGCCUCUUGUAAUUCAGCUCAAAGUUGUGUGUUGUGAAUGAAUGAGAGGAGCUCUAUUUAUAGCCUCCAUAUGACGGUUACAGGUAUGGGAAACGACCAAACUACCCUCCAACCAUCAUUAGGAAGAGAUCAGGGCCAUCCACAUCGAAUCUCACGAUCAACGGCCACAAAAAGUGUUCGGGCCGAACUCGAGACGGCUCCGUUCGGCCCAUUUUUUAUCGUGGACACUAAUUUUGAGACCCUCAGCCUAUUGGCAUGAUAGUUGGGCCCAUUUGGAGUUGUUUACUUGACUUAUGGGGCCUCCAAUCCGUGUAAAUGUAUCCUGAAUGCGCGGAGGUGCAGUUUGUUGCUUGACGGAUGUGUUUUCUUCUCAAAAUACCUGCAUACACAUAUUUCACCAACACUAGUGGAAAUGAUUAGUAAUAAUACCUACCACUAAGUUGGAUACCAUGUUUUAUUUCAUUAUAUGUAGGUAAUGACGGUCAGAUAUUAUGAUUUAAGAACCGUCAACAGACUUCUAGAUGUUUCGUGCCUAGCCCCAAAGCUCGCCUGUGGAAUAAGUUAGUUGCCUAGGUUCUUUGCCUAGUGCAUAGUCGCUUAGUCGCUUAGUUCUCCGCGCUAUUCGCUAGUCGCUUAGUUCUCCGCGCUGUUCGCUUCUGCGUCGUCGCUUUUAUGGUUUUCUGUAAUGUUGUGUUGCUCAUCUAUGGACCUGUCCAUGGUGGCAACUUAUGUAAGGACUACUACCCAGUGAUGUAAUAAAACAGUUUUCUUUGAUUCCACAGUUAUUCUGCGUGUAAAAGCUAGUGUAUCCUGGGACUGGUACUAUAUCACAGGUAAUGCAUAACACCUCGGUGUGAAUUAGCUGUGUUUAUGGCUAACGAAUGUCGGGGCGUUACAGCAACUGAGACCCCAACAACAGCAAACAAAUUGCAUCCGGCCAUAUCGUCUCGGCGGAGAUUAAUCCGAUAGUAGGCAACCAAUGACCCAUCAUCCUCCCACCACGGCUCGACGGCAGCGUCGAUGGGAGGUCAACGGCGGCGGCGCCUCACUUCAGCAUUAACUCCAGCGGCAACAACGACAUGGGUUUAGGGCUUUUUCUGAGACGGCUGUUUCCCGCGACGGCAUCGACGCAAGGCCGAUGGCGUACCCAACAGCGACAGCGAACAAUGGCCAACAUGUCUCCAAGUCCGACUGCACAGACUGAGAAUAUGUCGCCGUGUUUCCGGCGUGGCGUCAUCAGAGAAAGAGAGAAACAGAUAGAUGCGAGGGAGGGUGGGCGAGACGGUUGGUUCGGCCCAGCCGAAUUUGGCACGUCUCCAGUCC